GAGACGGGCAUUGUCGAGUCAACCAUACGUUGCAGCCGAUUGGAGAAGCUGGAGCGGGUGGAAACCCAUACGAUCUAGAAUUCUCGAUGAUGGACAUUGUGUCGAAAGUAAACCUUUGACACAGUGAACCACCAAAUCUUGCUCUCCAACCUCCAAGAACUAGGAGUAUCAGGCUCUGCACUCUCCCUGUUCAACUUCUAUCUCAAGGACCACGCUUAAAAGGGAACCUGGGUGUGACACCGGAUGACUAGAUGUCCUUUCCUGCCAACAUCACUGCGACAACACGCUCAGACAAAUUCAUGAUCUACACCAUCAAGAGGAUAUGUCACAGAUGUGGGGGCACGAGCUGCUUCUGAACAAAAAUCCUGAUUGUUUGCUGCCCUGUCCCCAGGAUGGCUCCCCCCUGAAAGAAAGCCUACACAUCGUCCGUCGAGACUGAAAACUUAUCUGUUCAAACUUCAUCUUGUCCCAU
ensembl:lncRNA